AGGCGUGCGGUGGGCGGGGCGCCGCGCUGACGUUGCCCGGGAUGCGGGCAGGUUCCGCCGCUGCCGCCGCCGCCGCCUCCGCCUCUCCUGCCACCGGGGUUUGUAUGAAAACACCGGGCGGUUGGCGGCGAGGGAUCCGCCGUGCGUCCAGAGAGCAAUCGCCGGCGCCAGCAGCGCCGAGCCGCGCCGGGUGCUGCGGCUCUGCCAGCCUCUGCCAGCACCCCAUCCUGAGCCGACUUUCUGCAAUGGUGAAAUGAAGUAACUCAAGAUGAGCAAAUUAAAAGUGAUAUCAGAGAAAAGCCUUACCAAUAAUUCUCGGAUUGUGGGACUCUUGGCUCAGCUGGAGAAGAUUAAUACUGAAUCUACAGAAUCAGAUAAUGCCAGAUAUGUCACAUCAAAAAUUCUUCAUCUGGCUCAAAGUCAAGAAAAAAUGAAGAGAGAAAUGACAGCCAAAGGUUCUACGGGAAUGGAAGUUCUAUUGUCAACAUUAGAGAACACGAAAGACCUUCAAACUACACUUAAUAUCUUAAGUAUUCUUGUUGAACUGGUGUCAGCAGGUGGAGGUCGAAGAGCCAGUUUCUUAGUAGCCAAAGGUGGUUCACAAAUAUUGCUACAGUUACUUACAAAUACCAGCAAAGAAGCUCCCCUAAAUGAGGAACUAAUGGUGCAGAUCCAUUCUAUUCUUGCAAAGAUUGGACCAAAAGACAAAAAAUUUGGAGUGAAAGCUAGAGUUAAUGGAGCUCUGAAUAUAACCUUGAGUUUGGUCAAGCAGAAUUUACAGAAUCUUCGUUUGGUUUUGCCUUGUCUUCAGCUUUUACGAGUUUAUUCUGCUAACUCUGUGAAUUCAGUAUCGUUAGGGAAAAAUGGAGUUGUGGAAUUGUUGUUUAAAGUCAUCGGGCCAUUCAGUAAGAAGAAUUCCAGUGUUAUGAAGGUUGCUUUAGACACUCUUGCUGCAUUGCUAAAAUCAAAAACAAAUGCCAGGAGAGCUGUAGACAGAGGAUAUGUUCAAGUACUCUUAACAAUUUAUGUAGAUUGGCACCGCCAUGAUAAUCGGCACAGAAACAUGCUCAUUCGGAAAGGCAUUUUACAGAGUUUAAAAAGCGUGACAAACAUCAAAUUGGGAAGAAAAGCAUUUAUUGAUGCCAAUGGGAUGAAAAUUCUCUAUAACACUUCACAAGAAUGUUUGGCGGUUAGGACCCUAGAUCCUCUUGUCAACACUUCCAGUCUGAUAAUGAGGAAAUGUUUUCCUAAAAAUCGUCUGCCACUCCCAACGAUUAAGAGCUCUUUCCAGUUCCAAUUGCCAGUUAUUCCGAUGACUGGACCUGUGGCCCAGCUCUAUAGCUUACCGCCAGAAGUGGAUGACGUAGUAGAUGAAAGUGAUGACAACGAUGAUGUUGAUUUGGAAGCUGAAAAUGAAACUGAAAAUGAAGAUGAUGAGCAAAAUUUUAAGAAUGAUGAUAUUGAAACAGAUAUUAACAAACUAAAGCCCCAGCAAGUACCUGGACGAACAAUAGAAGAACUUAAAAUGUAUGAACACCUUUUCCCUGAACUUGUUGAUGAUUUUCAGGAAUAUGAUUUGAUCUCCAAAGAACCAAAACCUUUUAUAUUUGAGGGAAAAGUACGCUGUCCCAUUGUUGUUCCUACAGCAGGAGAAGAAGCAUCUGCAAAUCCAGGCAGUUUAAGAAAAGGAGUUGUAACAAAGGCAAAUAUGUCUUCUAAAGGAGAUGAACAUGAUAAGAAAACUGCCUUUAUGGAACUGGCAAAAGAAGAUACUCCAGAUAAUAAUGAGAGGCUAUUACAGCAGCAGCUAGGUGAUCAAAAUAGAACUAUCUCAUCAGCUCAUGGCUUAAACAAUGAUAUUGUGAAGGCCUUGGACCGAAUUACACUGCAGAAUAUCCCUUCUCAAACAGCACUGGGCUGCACAGCAAGUAUGAAGAAGGACUACAGUCUCCCUCUCACUGUCCUUACAUGCACUAAGGCAUGUCCACAUAUGGCUGCUUGUGGAAGUGCUCUAUUUGAGGCAAGAACAGUUCAGUUAGGAAAGCUUUGCUGUACAGGAGUCGAAACUGAAGAUGAUGAAGAUACUGAGUCUACUUCGUCAGUGGAACAGACAUCAGUUGAGGUAUCUGAUGGACCAACACUCCAUGACUCGGAUCUCUAUAUUGAAAUUGUGAAGAAUACAAAGUCUGUCCCAGAAUAUUCAGAGGUGGCAUAUCCUGAUUAUUUUGGACACAUUCCACCUCCAUUCAAAGAGCCUAUUUUAGAAAGGCCUUAUGGCGUACAAAGGACAAAAAUUGCCCAGGAUAUUGAGAGACUAAUACAUCAGAGUGAUGUCAUAGAUCGAGUGGUAUAUGAUUUAGAUAACCCAAAUUAUGCUAUUCUAGAAGAAGGAGAUAUUUUGAAAUUUAACUCCAAAUUUGAAUCUGGGAACCUUCGGAAAGUAAUUCAAAUUAGAAAAAAUGAGUAUGAUCUUAUUCUGAACUCAGACAUAAAUAGCAACCAUUACCAUCAGUGGUUUUACUUUGAAGUCAGUGGAAUGCGACCAGGUGUUGCUUAUAGGUUUAACAUCAUUAACUGUGAGAAGUCCAACAGUCAAUUUAAUUAUGGUAUGCAGCCACUCAUGUAUUCAGUUCAAGAAGCAUUAAAUGCCAGACCAUGGUGGGUUCGGAUCGGGACUGACAUUUGUUACUACAAAAAUCACUUCUCAAGAAGUUCAGCUGCUGCAGGUGGACAAAAGGGAAAAUCUUACUAUACAAUUACAUUCACUGUCAAUUUUCCACACAAAGAUGAUGUUUGCUACUUUGCUUAUCAUUAUCCAUAUACAUACUCAACUUUACAGAUGCAUCUUCAAAAAUUGGAAUCAGCACAUAAUCCUCAGCAAAUUUAUUUUCGGAAAGAUGUGUUAUGUGAAACCCUGUCUGGAAACAGCUGUCCUUUGGUGACUAUAACAGCAAUGCCAGAAUCGAAUUAUUAUGAACAUAUUUGUCAAUUCAGAAACCGCCCUUAUAUUUUCUUAUCUGCUCGAGUACAUCCUGGAGAAACCAAUGCAAGUUGGGUAAUGAAAGGAACAUUGGAGUAUCUCAUGAGUAAUAACCCUACUGCUCAGAGUUUACGAGAAUCCUAUAUUUUUAAAAUUGUCCCCAUGUUAAAUCCAGAUGGAGUCAUCAAUGGAAAUCAUCGCUGUUCUUUAAGUGGAGAGGAUUUGAACAGACAGUGGCAAAGUCCAAAUCCAGACUUACAUCCCACAAUCUUCCAUGCAAAGGGGCUGCUACAAUACCUGGCUGCUGUGAAGCGUUUACCUCUGGUUUAUUGUGACUACCAUGGCCACUCCAGAAAGAAGAAUGUAUUUAUGUAUGGCUGCAGCAUCAAAGAGACAGUAUGGCACACCAAUGAUAAUGCAUCUUCAUGUGAUGUUGUGGAAGAUGUUGGAUACAGGACUUUGCCUAAAAUAUUGAGCAAUAUUGCCCCAGCAUUUUGUAUGAGCAGCUGUAGCUUUGUGGUGGAAAAAUCUAAAGAAUCCACAGCACGUGUAGUAGUUUGGCGGGAAAUAGGAGUGCAAAGAAGUUAUACCAUGGAGAGUACCUUGUGUGGCUGUGAUCAAGGAAAAUAUAAGGGUUUGCAGAUUGGCACUCGAGAAUUGGAAGAGAUGGGAGCAAAAUUUUGUGUUGGUCUCUUGCGUUUGAAAAGACUGACAUCCCCACUGGAGUAUAAUCUGCCUUCCAGCCUGCUUGACUUUGAAAAUGACUUGAUUGAAUCUAAUUGCAAAGUAACAAGGACACUUGGCAGCUCUGAACUCCAAUUUUUGCCUCCAGUUCUUUGACAUUGCUGAAAGCUCUGAUGACUUCUCUGCCUCUUAGCAGCUGCCCUUGCUUGGCCUUGGUUUCUUCUGGACUUGGCCCCAUGCACCUUUUCUCUUGGUUGAUUUUGCUUUAACUGAAUUUCAUAUUCAGUUGCAUGAAUUAUUUCACGUUAGCUGCCUAGUGAUGUCUCCUUGUUUGUUUAUUUAACAGAGUAUUGUUCCCUUUUUCUUAUCUGAUUUUUGGAGCUUUUUAUUGCAGCUACAGAAAAUCCUUUCUGGAAGCAGGUGGUAUAUAAAUAAACAUACAUAUAUAUGAAAUUAAGAUAUCCCUUGUUAUGGAAUAUACUUAUUGAAAUGUUCCUUGAUAUACAUAGAUGUGCUUGUGUGCUUUAAUAAAAUCUCUCAAAUGGAUGGAGAUCAGAAUAUGAUGAUUUGUUUUAAGAGUAUGUUGUAGACCCCUGUUGUAAGAGUCUUUGAAUCUUGAACAAUCUACCUAAUGAAAUAUUUAGAAGCACUUACUGUUUUUAGGCAAGUAGUUCAUUCUGUGUCCCAAGGGAAGAUAAUCUCUGUGUGGAGUGUUCAUUUAUUUAUUUUUAUUCUUGACUUACGGAAACUAAAAAUGGGUCUAUAGGCAGUUUUAUGGCAAGUAAUCACUUUAGAGACUUAGAACAAGUAGAUUCAUCAUUACAUUACUGCAGGAAACAAUGGAAUACCAUGUUUUUAAUAAAGGCAGUUAUUUGAUUUAAAGUAAUAAAGACUUUAAAGUCCUUUUCAAAAUACAUUUUUAUUGAAGUAUUAUUGGUUAAGAACAUUUAUAUCACUUUUUUUCCUUCUCUUUCUCCUCCUCCUUUUAUUUUUUUAUUUUUUUUUUUUACCAGAGCACUGCUCAGCUCUGGCUUCUUGUGGUGCGGGAAUUAAACCUGGGAAUUUGGAGCCUCAGGCAAGAAAGUCUCUUUGCAUAACCAUUAUGGUUAUCUAUCCCCGCUCUAUUUAUAUUACUUUUAGAUAUACAGCUGUAUAGUUGAUUUCUGUAUACAUUGUUAUCAAUACUGAAAGUCUAAUUUAUUCUGUCUAUAAUGAAAUAAGUCGUCGUAGCCUACAGAUUAGUGAAAUACGUCAAAGAAGUAGCCAAGCAAGAGUCCACUGUUCUUUGUAGCUAUGUAGUUGUAGGACAUAUAUUGAUACUUUUGUAAUAUGAUUAAAGCAGCAUUUCAUUUCAACACUUACUCCUAGGGCAAGGAAGUUUUGAUUAUUAAAAUCUCUUAUUUACUUGUGUAGCAUUUUUAAAGUUAACCCCAAAAUACUGAAAUCUAUAUCCAGCAUGGUGAAAUACUCUUAUAUUAGAACCUUACACUCUAACUAAGUUUUGUGUGUUCUGUAUGCUU